AUCCAAUGAUCAACAGAGUAUGCUGCGUCUGCAUGGGAAGGAAGUUUGUUCCCAUCUUGAGGAUAAUUGGUGUGAAGUCCUACCUUCUCAAAGAACACCAACUUUUUCAACAGGUUUGACAUAGUCUCCUGUAUUCAGCCAGUGGAAGUCUCUACUUAGAGUGAACUCCAUCCAUUGUCUGCUCCAAAAUGGUCUGGACUAUGCAGAAUCAACUCUCCACAACCACAAUCGAGUUUUAGCAGUGUCUUUUGAGAUCCAUUUGUCAUCUGUGUUGCACCAGCAGAAAAUCAUCUUUCUGGAUCAUAUUCAAGAGACAUUGACCAUGUUCUUUGAAUGGUACUUGAAACAAUAGUCCUAGCUGCUGUAACUGUGAUGGUCUGGAG
rnacentral:lncRNA from 1 species